rnacentral:rRNA from 1 species
UCCACUUGGGAGGUUGUUGCCCUUGAGGCGUGGCUUCCGGAGCUAACGCGUUAAGUCGACCGCCUUGGGGAGUACGGCCGCAAGGUUAAAACUCAAAUGAAUUGACGGGGGCCCGCACAAGCGGUGGAGCAUGUGGUUUAAUUCGAUGCAACGCGAAGAACCUUACCUGGUCUUGACAUCCACAGAACUUUCCAGAGAUGGAUUGGUGCCUUCGGGAACUGUGAGACAGGUGCUGCAUGGCUGUCGUCAGCUCGUGUUGUGAAAUGUUGGGUUAAGUCCCGCAACGAGCGCAACCCUUAUCCUUUGUUGCCAGCGGUUAGGCCGGGAACUCAAAGGAGACUGCCAGUGAUAAACUGGAGGAAGGUGGGGAUGACGUCAAGUCAUCAUGGCCCUUACGACCAGGGCUACACACGUGCUACAAUGGCGCAUACAAAGAGAAGCAAUCUCGCGAGAGCCAGCGGACCUCAUAAAGUGCGUCGUAGUCCGGAUUGGAGUCUGCAACUCGACUCCAUGAAGUCGGAAUCGCUAGUAAUCGUGAAUCAGAAUGUCACGGUGAAUACGUUCCCGGGCCUUGUACACACCGCCCGUCACACCAUGGGAGUGGGUUGCAAAAGAAGUAGGUAGCUUAACCUUCGGGAGGGCGCUUACCACUUUGUGAUUCAUGACUGGGGUGAAGUCGUACAAAGGGUUNACCA